rnacentral:rRNA from 1 species
UACGUAUGGUGCAAGCGUUAAUCGGAAUUACUGGGCGUAAAGCGUGCGCAGGCGGCUUUGCAAGACAGAUGUGAAAUCCCCGGGCUUAACCUGGGAACUGCAUUUGUGACUGCAUGGCUGGAGUGCGGCAGAGGGGGAUGGAAUUCCGCGUGUAGCAGUGAAAUGCGUAGAUAUGCGGAGGAACACCGAUGGCGAAGGCAAUCCCCUGGGCCUACACUGACGCUCAUGCACGAAAGCGUGGGGAGCAAACAGG